GAUGAACGCUAGCGGCAGGCCUAACACAUGCAAGUCGAGGGGUAGAAUUAGCUUGCUAAUUUGAGACCGGCGCACGGGUGCGUAACGCGUAUGCAAUCUACCUUGUACAGGGGGAUAGCCCAGAGAAAUUUGGAUUAAUACCCCAUGGUAUAAUUAAUUUGCAUGAAUUGAUUAUUAAAGUUCCAACGGUACAAGAUGAGCAUGCGUCCCAUUAGCUAGUUGGUGUGGUAACGGCAUACCAAGGCGACGAUGGGUAGGGGUCCUGAGAGGGAGAUCCCCCACACUGGUACUGAGACACGGACCAGACUCCUACGGGAGGCAGCAGUGAGGAAUAUUGGUCAAUGGUCGGAAGACUGAACCAGCCAUGCCGCGUGCAGGAAGAAGCAUCUAUGGUGUGUAAACUGCUUUUGUACGGGAAGAAACACUCCUACGUGUAGGAGCUUGACGGUACCGUAAGAAUAAGGAUCGGCUAACUCCGUGCCAGCAGCC
rnacentral:rRNA from 1 species